UCCCUGGAGGACUAGUGGUUAGACCACGGCGCUCUCCCCGCUGUGGUCUGGGUUCGUUUCCAAACCAGGGAA